CGCCUCUUGACUUCUAUAAGAGGUAACGCCUGCCCAGUGACUGUGUGUUCAACGGCUGCGGUAUUUUAACCGUACAAAGGUAGCGUAAUCACUUGUCUUCUAAAUAAAGACUAGUAUGAAUGGCAUCACGAGGACUAAACUGUCUCCCCCAUCCAAUCAGUGAAACUGAUCUCCCCGUGCAGAAGCGGGGCUAAUAACAUAAGACGAGAAGACCCUGUGGAGCUUUAAAAUCAAUGUCAACUGCCUUACCCCUCAUUUACACUUAUGCAAGUAUAAUUUUGAUUUUUCAGCUGGGGCGCCUAUGGAGAAAACCCACCCUCCAUGAAGAACUUACCACGAGCUACCACACUAAGUAUUAAUAAACUCAACUUAAAUUGAUCCAAUUUAUUGAUCAACGGACCAAGUUACCCCAGGGAUAACAGCGCAAUCCACUUUUAGAGUCCCUAUCGACAAGUGGGCUUACGACCUCGAUGUUGGAUUAGGGCAUCCCAGUGGUGCAACCAUUACUAAAGGUUCGUUGGUUCAACGAUUAAAGCCCUACAUGAUCUGAGUUCAGACCGGAGAAAUCCAGGUCGGUUUCUAUCUAUGAUUGAACUUUUUCUAGUACGAAAGGACCGAAAAAGUAGAGCCUAUAGACUUCUAAGCUCUAGCUAUUCAUUAUUGAACUAACCUCAAAUAAGAACAGCCCCUUACUUCCCUCUAGAUAAUAGC
rnacentral:rRNA from 1 species